ensembl:lncRNA novel transcript
GACGCGGUGUGUGCCAGCUACCCGAGUGAAAGGUUUUCGGGGGAUUAAUCCUGAUGGGGUCUGCGGCGGCCCUUGCCCAGCGCCUUCCACAUGUGGAGCGGGCCAGUGGUGCUAGUUCUGCCGCCAACUCUGGACGGUUGAGUUCAGGGCCACUUUUUACUCAGGCACGGAUGUGACAGAAAGAUGGAAAAGGGUCUUGGAAGAACCACAUGUGCCGUAUAACGAACGACCUUUUGGUCUGAGGAGGACCGUGUAUAUGACGGUGGUCCCAUAACAUGAUAACGGAGCUGGAAACUUCCUGUCCUCUGGUGAGGGCUUAGCUAAGGACAUUUCCUCUCCUGUAUUUGGAGAUACACGUACAGGUGGAUCUGAAGCAGUGCUGCCUUAGUCUCCUUGGACUCUCAGCUCCAUUUCCUCAGCUCAAGUAGUCCACUGGGCUCUACCUCAGUUCUGCCUCCUCUUGCUGUGGCCUAGAAAUUCUCUCUGGAUAUCAGAAAACAAAGGACAGUAAUCCCUGCCAAGAUGGGAUACAAACAAGGUGAGCCCCAUGAUUGCCCAAGCGUACUACCUGGAGUGUCUUCUUCUGUUUUUUUCUUUUUCUUUUUUUUCUUCAAGAUGGGAUCUUCCUGUGUUGCCCAGGCUGGAGUGCAGUGCCAUGAUCAUGGCUAAUUGCAGCCUUGAACUCCUGGCCUCAAAUGGUCCUCCCACCUCAGCCUCCCAUGUAGCUAGGUCUCCAAGCGCAUGCUACUGUGCCCAGCAUGGUAUCCAGUGUCUUGAAACCACCAUUGCAUGUAUUUUUGACGGGCUCCUUUGGUUGUUUCAGGUAGAAGGGUCAACCUGGUCCCUGUUACUCCAUCUUGUCUGUA